rnacentral:rRNA from 1 species
UACGAAGGGGACUAGCGUUGUUCGGAAUCACUGGGCGUAAAGCGCACGUAGGCGGAUAUGUCAGUCAGGGGUGAAAUCCCGGGGCUCAACCUCGGAACUGCCUUUGAUACAGCAUGUCUUGAGUCCGAUAGAGGUGGGUGGAAUUCCUAGUGUAGAGGUGAAAUUCGUAGAUAUUAGGAAGAACACCAGUGGCGAAGGCGGCUCACUGGCCUGGUAUUGACGCUGAGGUGCGAAAGCGUGGGGAGCAAACAGG